AUGAAUUGUGUGUGGGUUUUCCUCUUUCUGGUGGCGACUCUGGGAGGUGUCCUGGCUCAGGUGCAGUUACAAGAGUGGGGCCCUGGCCUGGUGAAGCCCUCACAGACGUUGUCUCUCACCUGUGCUGCUUAUGGAUUCUCUUUAACCAGCACUGGGGUGCACUGGAUCCGCCAGUCUCCAGGAAAGGUACUGGAGUGGCUUGGUGUUGUGUGGGGUGGUGGGAGCACAGAUUAUAAUCCAGCUUUCCAGUCCAGGGUCAGCAUCACCAGGGACACCUCCAAGAGCCAAGUUUCUUUAAAACUGAGCUCUGUGAAUCCUGAGGACACAGCCAUGUAUUACUGUGCUAGAGACACAGUGAUGGGAAGUCAGUGUGAGCCCAGACACAAACCUUAG